rnacentral:rRNA from 1 species
UACGUAGGUGGCAAGCGUUGUCCGGAGUUAUUGGGCGUAAAGCGCGCGCAGGCGGUGCGGUAAGUCUCUGGUGAAAGCGCUCGGCUUAACUGGGCGAGGGCCGGGGAGACUGCCACGCUGGAGGGGAGCAGAGGCGAGUGGAAUUCCGGGUGUAGUGGUGAAAUGCGUAGAGAUCGGGAGGAACACCAGUGGCGAAGGCGGCUACCUGGACCAGCACUGACACUGAGGCACGAAAGCGUGGGGAGCAAACAGG